CGGGGAGUAGCGCAGCCUGGUAGCGCAUCUGCUUUGGGAGCAGAGGGUCGCAGGUUCGAAUCCUGUCUCCCCGA
rfam:Sphingomonas laterariae strain LNB2 genome assembly, contig: Ga0138991_107